AGGAACUCCAGAGGUCAAGUUUUAACUCUUUCUCCCAGACAUCCCCACCGGCGCCUCCCAGGGGCAGCCUAAAAUAUGGCCUUUUAUUGUUGGGAGAUCCUUGUCUGGAGGGGCUUCUUGGGGAGUGCCAGCAAGGCCCCAAGUUUCAGCCACCUUCAUGCUCUCCAGUUGACUCAUAUGUGGAGAAUUUACAUGCAUAAGAACUCAAGGAGGAAGGGAAUGAGAGCAGCUCCCAUCUUGGGUGCCAUCUCUGCAACUAGCUCUCCUCUCCCGUCCUUCACCCCCAGGGCAUCAGGGGCUUUGCCAGGACGAUGGUUCAGUGACUUUUAGACAAAUUGUCAGCUUGGGGAGUGCGGAGAGGAAGUUUACUGCACUUUAAACUUGUGGAAAGGUAGUGGAGAACAAGAUGAAUGGCCUCCAUCUUCUUCAGCUAGAGAGAUGCAAUGGAUGGUUGCCAUGUACAAGAGCCAUCCUGCCUGAAACUCAGGAAACACAAGGUCCCUGGUUGUGUAAUAUGAGUACACUUGAAAGUUCCUCGUCCUUAUCUGGCAACCCAGAUGGAUAAAUACUGGCCCUGAAGAUGCUUUUCUUAAAACUGAGCACAAGUGGCUGCAGAACAGAGCUUGGGAAGAACCAGUUAUUCUUCUGUCAGUUCAAAACUGGGGGCCCCUUCCCUCUAGCAUUCAUCCUCUGCUUGCCGGGGCAUAUCAAUUUCACCCAAAUCACGUGGACUAAGGUGGUGAUGGUGGGCUGUGGUAGGUAUGAUUUCCCCAAAGAAAAUUCAGAUGAAGUCACCAGAGGGAAGAAGGAAGAAUGGAUGUUUAUGCAAAAGACGCAGAUGUCCACAACAGUUCCCACAUGGGAAGAGAAUAAUCCAGGUUUAAGAGCCCUGGCUUGGGACCCCAGUGUCUGGGGAUGGAGUCCCAGCUCUACCAUUUACAAAUUGUGUGACCAUGGCUGGAUCAUGUCACCAGUCAGUAUGGGUCUGUGUCCCCAUUAACAAAUGGGAGUGAUGGUCCAGCAUUGUGGGCCUGAAUCAGAGUGACAGCACAUUGCAAAGGCACCAUGUAAGCUCCAGCAGGUGUGUCACAGCUACUUGUGGUGUCAUGAAAUCUGAAGUCUCUGAUCCAGUGAAUCAGCUUCUGAAUAUUUAAUCAAAGGAAAUUAAAACACUAACUCAGGAGUUCCCAUCAUGGUGCAGUGGUUAACGGAUCCGACUAGGAACCAUAAGGU